GAUGAACGCUAGCUACAGGCUUAACACAUGCAAGUCGAGGGGUAACGAGAGGAAAGCUUGCUUUCCUUGUCGACGGCCGGCGCACGGGUGAGUAACGCGUAUCCAACCUGCCCCCAACUAGGGAAUAACCUUGCGAGAGUAAGACUAAUACCCUAUAAUUUCCUCAGAUGUCAUCUGACGAGGAAUAAAGAUUUAUCGGUUGUGGAUGGGGAUGCGUCUGAUUAGCUUGUUGGCGGGGUAACGGCCCACCAAGGCAACGAUCAGUAGGGGUUCUGAGAGGAAGGUCCCCCACAUUGGAACUGAGACACGGUCCAAACUCCUACGGGAGGCAGCAGUGAGGAAUAUUGGUCAAUGGGCGGAAGCCUGAACCAGCCAAGUAGCGUGCAGGAUGAUGGCCCUAUGGGUUGUAAACUGCUUUUAUACAGGAAUAAAGUUAGCCACGUGUGGUUAUUUGUAGGUACUGUAUGAAUAAGGACCGGCUAAUUCCGUGCCAGCCGCCGCAGUAA
rnacentral:rRNA from 1 species